GCACUCGUAGCUCAAUUGGAUAGAGCAUCUGACUACGAAUCAGAAGGUUGUGAGUUCGAAUCUCGCCGAGUGCACCA
rnacentral:tRNA from 1 species